GUAGGGAAUAUUGCACAAUGGAGGAAACUCUGAUGCAGCGACGCCGCGUGAGUGAUGAAGGCCUUCGGGUCGUAAAGCUCUGUCGCAGGGGAAUAACACAAUGAAGGUACCCUGUAAGAAAGGAUCGGCUAACUUCGUGCCAGCAGCCGCGGUAAGACGAGGGAUCCUAGCGUUGUUCGGAAUCAUUGGGCGUAAAGCGGAUGUAGGUGGCUAUGUAAGUCAGAUGUGAAAGCCUGGGGCUCAACCCCAGAAGUGCAUUUGAUACUGCGUAGCUUGAGUGUCGGAGAGGUUACUAGAAUUGUUGGUGUAGUGGUGAAAUACGUAGAUAUCAACAGGAAUACCGGAGGCGAAGGCGGGUAACUGGCCGAACACUGACACUGAGAUCCGAAAGCGUGGGGAUCAAACAGGAUUAGAUACCCCGGUAGUCC
rnacentral:rRNA from 1 species